UUUAUAAACAUGACUGCUCAUCUCUCUGGAACAUCUCACAGUAUUCUUCCCCUGCUGCAAAAGCCAAGUCAUUUCAUUAAGGGCACUUAAGGAAGAAAUGAUCUCACCCACCAUGCCCGGCUUAUUUUUCUCUCCUUACAACUUCCGGAAGACUGGCUUUCCUGUCCCCUUCUCCUUGGCUUCCUGUCACCCUUUCUCCUAAGCCUCCCUCUAGUUCUUCUUUUACAGGAGGAAAAGCUUGGUUCACCCACACAGCACUUUGUACUUGAGUUUUUCACUCAACGUUCUGGAAAGGUUUUGUACAGUACAAACGCCACACCAUGAUGACGUGAUUGAGCUCAGAAACGCUCAGCCAUUUCAGGCUCCUGACACUACAGCACUGUUCUUUUGUCAUCCCAGAGGCCCCUUGCUUUGUUAGCAUCAUCUGUCUCCUGCUCCAGUUCUCGCCACUCCUCCUGAUGGUGACCAGUCCAUCUCCCUAGUUCCCUUAGACCCAGCAGGCUCUUGCCUAGGACUACCACAUCUACUGCAGUUCCUACCUUGCCAACUGGUUCAUCCUUUAAGAAACAGCUCAUAUAUCACUCGUUAAUCACUACAGUAUCCAAACUGUUAGACACCCUCUCUCCUGAACUUUUGUGCUGUCUCAGUAUUAGAGGCAAAACCAACUUGUUGGGUGAAUGAGCAAACUAUGGAUGCUGUGCUUUCUUGACUACUAAAUCAAUUUUUUUUUUGUGCAAAAGAUCCCACUCAGUCUUCCAGUUAGUCCAUGGAAUAACUACAUUUCUACUUUCUGCAAGCUGCUUUGCUAGGGGAAAGACAGUGGAGACAGAAGGAAGAGAAGACUCUGCUCUCACAGAACUCUUCUGCCCAGAAAUGCAGAUGACCAAAGCAAGUGCUGGGGAUGAAAGAGGAAAGAAUGAAGGAAAACCACCCCAGAAGGUGUUAGGAUGAUGUUCCCUAAGCACAUUUACUUAAGAGCUCAGGGAGAUGCCCAUCUUUGUUGGGAGCUGGAGAUUUCCUACACAAUUGAAAAAGACUUGUACGCACUAUGAUCCAAAAUCUGGAAGAGGUCUGUAUGGCCAGCAUCACAUAGUGGAGAGGGACAUUUUGGUGAGAAGGGGUUGGAGAGGUUGACAAAAGGCUGUUCAAAUGGCUUUGCGUGCUAUUAAGGAAAUGGAAUUUUCUGUUUAAAAAGUGGAAAGUAAUCCAAUCUGAUCUGUAUUGAUUACAGAUUGUGUAUUGAAAAGUUGGAAAACAGCUGGAUUUGACCUAGAGGCUGCCACAUGGCAGAUGAGUAAUGAGGACAGCUCUCCUUUGCUCACAACAUUGAAUCUUCACUUUUCUAAGCCUGUGCAAUUCUUGAGUAGAAACAGAGAAGAAAAAAAGAUUGGAAAAGGUGAGGGUAAAAGCAGGAAGACCAAUUAGGAAAUUCCUGUCCAAAUCCAUGAUAGCAAUGUUGACAGUGGAGUAUUCAGAGACAGACACAGAAAGGCUUCAGUCAUACUCAGAAGACUGGUUUGCUAAGUCACAGAUCAGGGAGGGAAA